GGGCCGGCGAGAAGCAGGCAGAGGCAGGGCUGCCCUAGCUCGCGCACUGCCGAGCAGCAGUCCUCGCUGGGCGGCGACGGGCUGAAGGGCGCCACCGCCGCCUUGCACGGGAUCAUGAGCUGCAGCAGCGCGCCCAGGUGGAUACGGCGGCGGGAAAACUCCAUCCGGCCGCGCCAAUUUGCCCAUCAACCAGCGUCGAGGUCAGGUGGAUACGGCGGCGAGCCGUGAUUUGCUUGAGGCGGAGGCGGCGUCCUCGAAGCUGCGGAAGGAGGCGGUGGCAGUCCGUGCAGGACCAAGUCAGCCACGGGCCAUGGCUGAGCUAGGAGCUCGGCACUGCCGCUGCCCCGUCCAGCUAUCGCCACCGAUGAGCCCUCAAAUGGAACCGCGAUGAUCUCCUCUAUCGAUGCACCACAUGCCCAUGGACCUCACCGCUCGGAGCGCCGGCGAGACCAGCCAUCAGUUUUUAGUUCCGCCGGCCAUGGAGACCCGCGUGAACCUGAUCUAUUUCUGUCUCUUUGCAAUUUGAUGGCGAUGGAAUAACAAAAUCCAUAUCUAAACUCUUAUGUCUUGGUAAACUUACAGAAAACCCCCUAGUAAAAGCCCACUUCUUGCAA